ACCAAGUGUAGCCGUAGAUAUCCGUGUCCAACAUUUGACCAUUCGUCUUAUUUAAAACAUUUAUGAAAAAUUUGAAAAUAUUUAGUCACGCAUAAAGUACUAUUCAUGUUUUAUCAUUUAAUAGCAAUAAAAAUAUUAAUCAUAAAAAAUUUUCAAAUAAGAUGAACGGUCAAAUGUUAAACGUGAAUAGUGUAAAACUGCACUUAUU
rnacentral:pre_miRNA from 1 species